rnacentral:lncRNA from 1 species
UAUAAGCACACGAAUCACAUUGGAUAGUAGACAUGAAUAAAUAAACUAUCAAACCAAACAAUGUGGUUAAGAGUAUUGUAUUAGAGAAAGAUCGUAUUGCAUUUGUAGUCCUAAACUGAAUAGGUUCUCCACUUCUUCUGAUUAGCUUGGGUAACCAUGAUAUGCUGCUAGGUGUCACUCAUGGUUUGUGGAAGCCCUAAACGUGUAUAAUCACUAAAUGGAGAAUUGAAAGUAAGUUUGAAAUUCACAAUCGAUUUGAAAUGGUUUUAAUCGCCCACUGCCUCGCUAAAAGGAAGCUAAUGGAUCAUACACCGUGUAAGGUGGAGAUUGAAGAAACAAUGGAAAUGAGUAAGAAUAAUUAAAUGGUUUAAUUAUAUAUGGUAAGGAUUAAUUAAUAUGUUAAUUAAUCAAACAAAUAAGUUCGUUAAAGACCUCGGGAUAGUUUUGGACUUU